rnacentral:rRNA from 1 species
AUUGAAAGCUGGCGGCAGGCUUAACACAUGCAAGUCGAACGAGUGGCUGACGGGUGAGUAAUGCUUGGGAAUCUAGCUUAUGGAGGGGGAUAACUAAGGGAAACAGUGGCUAAUACCGCUUACAAUAGGCUGAGCCCAAGUGGGAUUAGGUAGUUGGUGAGGUAAAGGCUAACCAAGACGCCGAUCGCUAGCUGGUCCGAGAGGAUGACCAGCCACACGUGGACUGAGACACGGCCCAGACUCCUACGGUAGGCAGCAUUGGGGAAUAUGGCGCAAUGGGGGCAACCUGACGCAGCCAUGCCGCGUGAAUGAAGAAGGCCGUCGGGUUGUAAAGUUCUUUCGGUAGCGAGGCGUUAACUACAGAAGAAGCACCGGCUAACUCCGGGCCAGCAGCCGCGGUAAUAC